rnacentral:rRNA from 1 species
CUAGCGUUGUUCGGAAUUACUGGGCGUAAAGCGCGCGUAGGCGGCUUUGUAAGUUAGAGGUGAAAGCCCGGAGCUCAACUCCGGAACUGCCUUUAAGACUGCAUCGCUAGAAUUGUGGAGAGGUAAGUGGAAUUCCGAGUGUAGAGGUGAAAUUCGUAGAUAUUCGGAAGAACACCAGUGGCGAAGGCGACUUACUGGACACAUAUUGACGCUGAGGUGCGAAAGCGUGGGGAGCAAACAGG